rnacentral:rRNA from 1 species
GAUAAACGCUGGCGGCGUGCCUAACACAUGCAAGUCGAACGAAGCUCUCUGAGUUGAGUUUUCGGACAAGAGGAAGAGAUGACUUAGUGGCGGACGGGUGAGUAAUGCGUGAGCAACCUGCCUUUCAGAGGGGGACAACAGUUGGAAACGACUGCUAAUACCGCAUAAUGUAUUUUGAUGGCAUCAACGAAAUACCAAAGAUUAUAUCGCUGAAAGAUGGGCUCACGUCUGGUUAGCUAGUUGGUGAGGUAACGGCUCACCAAGGCUGCGAUCAGUAGCCGGACUGAGAGGUCGAACGGCCACAUUGGGACUGAGAUACGGCCCAGACUCCUACGGGAGGCAGCAGUGGGGAAUAUUGGGCAAUGGGCGCAAGCCUGACCCAGCAACGCCGCGUGAAGGAAGAAGGCUUUCGGGUUGUAAACUUCUUUUGGCAGGGACGAAACAAAUGACGGUACCUGCAGAAUAAGCACCGGCUAACUACGUGCCAGCCGCCGCCGUAA